AUGCUCACUUUAAGCAGCAUAUCUACUAAAAUUAGAACAAUAUAGAGAUGAUUAGCCUGACCCUUCCACCAGGAUGACAUGCAAACUCAGGAAACAUUAUAUAUAAAG